rnacentral:sRNA from 1 species
ACUCGGCAAGACUGGCACGGCACCUGCAAUAACCCCAUCAACAAUUUACAAAAGCGCGCGCCUCAACGACGAGGAGCGCACUUCCCGAUCGAUCGGGACUUGGACAAAGGGGGGCCCCCCCGGCAACCGGCGGGACGCC